rnacentral:tRNA from 1 species
GCCGCUAUCGUCUUGAGGUCAGGACGGAUGGUUCUCAGCCAUCAAACCGGGGUUCGAAUCCCCGUAGCGGUA